GCUCUCUGGCAUGACUCAGACAUACAUUUUCAUUGCUUGUCAUGCAGAACACAAAAUGCUGCUUGAACAUUUGUAGUCGCACGCUCCUCUGACAGAAUAAUGGAUUCGUUCUUUCUGCCAGGGUAAAUCACCAGCAGCCCUUGUGCCCAGGCAAAGAUUGCAAAAAAGGACCUGGUGCCUCUGACCUUUGGGUAACAGGCAGACGAUGCCUGAAAAGCCGAUGGUAUGAUACUACCACAAUGUUCCCUCUUCAGAGCUUUGCUAAUGAAACAUCAAGCACAAUGUUUUCCCAGGGGAAAAAAAAGACUGUCCUAGUAUGCCAUUACCUGAGUGAUACAGCCCAACAUCAUCCUUUAUCAGCCCAUUAAGUACAAGAAGGGAAGGAGAUAAUUGAGCAGCGGCCACAGAAGAAAUGAACUUCACCAGAGGCAGAGAAAUCACCCAAACCCUUCCUUCAUCCGGGUGGAAAAGUUUUAAACUGAACUCCCAGGGCCUCCUCCAUUGUAAAGCAAACAGUCAGGACCUUCUCUCUAAGGGCCCCAAACCUUGCAGAAGAAUUGGAAAGACUUUGGGAAGACUGAUGGGUGACCUCUGGUGGAACUCUGCAAGAGGAUAAAUGGACACAAGUCAGAUA